GAUGAACGCUAGCGGCAGGCUUAAUACAUGCAAGUCGAGGGGCAGCAGGGGUAGGCAAUACUCGCUGGCGACCGGCAAACGGGUGCGGAACACGUACGCAACCUUCCCAUAACUGGUGAAUAGCCUUCCGAAAGGGAGAUUAAUACACCGUAACAUAAUGAAGUGGCAUCACUUUAUUAUUAUAGCUCCGGCGGUUAUGGAUGGGCGUGCGCCUGAUUAGGUAGUUGGUAGGGUAACGGCCUACCAAGCCUUCGAUCAGUAACUGGUGUGAGAGCACGACCAGUCACACGGGCACUGAGACACGGGCCCGACUCCUACGGGAGGCAGCAGUAAGGAAUAUUGGUCAAUGGACGCAAGUCUGAACCAGCCAUGCCGCGUGGAGGAUGAAGGUCCUCUGGAUUGUAAACUUCUUUUAAUUUUGGGAAGAAACCCACGAUUUCUAUUGUGGUUGACGGUACCAGAUGAAUAAGCACCGGCUAACUCCGUGCCAGCAGCCGCGGUAA
rnacentral:rRNA from 1 species